GAUGAACGCUGGCGGCGUGCCUAACACAUGCAAGUCGAACGGAGAUUACGGACGGAAGUUUUCGGAUGGAAGCCUGUAAUUCUUAGUGGCGGACGGGUGAGUAACGCGUGGGCAACCUGCCCUAUACAGGGGGAUAGCAGCUGGAAACGGCUGGUAAGACCGCAUAAGUCGGUUAAAUCGCAUGAUUUGAUCGGGAAAUGAGCAAUCGGGUAUAGGAUGGGCGCGCGUCCGAUUAGCCAGAUGGCAGGGUAAAAGCCUACCAAAGCGACGAUCGGUAGCCGGACUGAGAGGUCGGACGGCCACAAUGGGGCUGAGGCACGGCCCAAACUCCUACGGGAGGCAGCAGUGGGGGAUAUUGCACAAUGGAGGAAACUCUAAUGCCGCGGCGCCGCGUGAGUGAAGAAGUAUUUCGGUAUGUAAAGCUCUAUCAGCAGGGAAGAUGAUGACGGUACCUGACUAAGAAGCCCCGGCUAACUACGUG
rnacentral:rRNA from 1 species